rnacentral:rRNA from 1 species
CUUCGGGGUGUAAAGAUCUGUCAGUGGGGACGAAACUUGACGGUACCCACAGAGGAAGCACCGGCUAACUCCGUGCCAGCAGCCGCGGUAAUACGGAGGGUGCAAGCGUUGUCCGGAAUCAUUGGGCGUAAAGAGUUCGUAGGUGGUUUGUUAAGUUUGGUGUUAAAUGCAGAGGCUCAACUUCUGUUCGGCAUCGGAUACUGGCAGACUAGAAUGCGGUAGAGGUAAAGGGAAUUCCUAGUGUAGCGGUGAAAUGCGUAGAUAUUAGGAGGAACACCAGUGGCGUAAGCGCUUUACUGGGCCGUAAUUGACACUGAGGAACGAAAGCCAGGGUAGCAAAUGGGAUUAGAUACCCCAGUAGUCCUGGCCGUAAACGAUGGAUACUAGGUGUUGCGGGUAUCGACCCCUGCAGUGCCGUAGCUAACGCGUUAAGUAUCCCGCCUGGGGAGUACGCACGCAAGUGUGAAACUCAAAGGAAUUGACGGGGACCCGCACAAGCGGCGGAGCAUGUGGUUUAAUUCGAAGCAACGCGAAGAACCUUACCAGGUCUUGACAUCUAACAAACCUUUGUGAAAGCAGAGGGUGCUCUUCGGAGAAUGUUAAGACAGGUGGUGCACGGUUGUCGUCAGCUCGUGUCGUGAGAUGUUGGGUUAAGUCCCGCAACGAGCGCAACCCUCGUCGUUAGUUGGUACUAUCGGUAUACUUAUAGUAACCUCUCUAGCGAGACUGCCGGUGAUAAACCGGAGGAAGGUGAGGAUGACGUCAAAUCAUCAUGCCCCUUAUGCUCUGGGCUACACACGUGCUACAAUGGCCGGUACAAUGAGCCGCCAACUCGCGAGAGUGAGCAAAUCUCUAAAAGCCGGUCUCAGUUCGGAUUGCAGUCUGCAACUCGACUGCAUGAAGUCGGAAUCGCU